rnacentral:tRNA from 1 species
UGAGAGGUAGCUUAGUGGUAGAGCACCUGCCUAGCAUGUGCAAGGUCCUGGGUACAAUUCCCAGCAGUGCAA